rnacentral:rRNA from 1 species
AUUGAACGCUGGCGGCAGGCCUAACACAUGCAAGUCGAACGAGUGGCGGACGGGUGAGUAAUGUCUGGGAAACUGCCCGAUGGAGGGGGAUAACUACUGGAAACGGUAGCUAAUACCGCAUACCAUCGGAUGUGCCCAGAUGGGAUUAGCUAGUAGGUGGGGUAACGGCUCACCUAGGCGACGAUCCCUAGCUGGUCUGAGAGGAUGACCAGCCACACUGGGACUGAGACACGGUCCAGACUGCUACGGGAGGCAGAAGUGGGGAAUAUUGCACAAUGGGCGCAAGCCUGAUGCAGCCAUGCCGCGUGGAUGAAGAAGGCCGUCGGGUUGGAAAGUACUUUAAGCGAGGAGGCGGUACUCGCAGAAGAAGCACCGGCUAACUCCGUGCCAGCAGCCGCGGUAAUUC